UUUAUCCUUGUCAAUGUAUUAGUUAGAUGUAUAUAAUAUUAGGUCAUCAGCAUUUCUUAACUCACAUUUCCUUUCGGCCGGAAGUUGGUGUUCGUCGUUCUCAAAUUACAUUUCUCAUCGGCGUUUCACAGUCGAUGAAAUAACUUUUUCUGGGAAAAUCACGAAAACCUGUCCCAGAAUCCGACUCCUUCUUUCCUCUUCUCCCCACACCCUUCUUUCGAGCUAAUUACUACUUUGUGUGCAGAAGCAUCCGUCGUCGGCGGUUAGAAAUGGGCGAGAUCGUCCCAUUCAUAGACCUCAACCUCUCUCCGACUCCGGCCGUUCCCAACGGCGGCACAAGCUCAGCUCCUGGUGGUGCUACCUCCCAACGGCGGCACCAGCUCAGCUCCUGGUGGUGCUACCGCAGCGACUCCAUCAUUUAUGAAGGUACCCAAAAUCGAACCAAAGCUGGAACCACUGGAGGAGAGCCCACUCGAAAUCCAGCAGCUCCUUCAAGAGCAACCGGACUCUUACUUCCAAGACUCAAUCCCUUUGAACUUCUACUCCGAUU
rnacentral:lncRNA from 1 species